rnacentral:rRNA from 1 species
UACGGGAGGCAGCAGGGGGAAUAUUGCACAAUGGGCGCAAGCCUGAUGCAGCCAUGCCGCGUGUAUGAAGAAGGCCUUCGGGUUGUAAAGUACUUUCAGUCGUGAGGAAGGUGUUAAGGUUAAUAACCUUAGCAAUUGACGUUAGCGACAGAAGAAGCACCGGCUAACUCCGUGCCAGCAGCCGCGGUAAUACGGAGGGUGCGAGCGUUAAUCGGAAUUACUGGGCGUAAAGGGCACGCAGGCGGUUAAUUAAGUUGGAUGUGAAUCCCCGGGCUUAACCUGGGAAUGGCAUUCAAGACUGGUUAGCUAGAGUCUUGUAGAGGGGGUAGAAUUCCAUGUGUAGCGGUGAAAUGCGUAGAGAUGUGGAGGAAUACCGGUGGCGAAGGCGGCCCCUGGGACAAAGGCUGACGCUCAUGUGCGAAAGCGUGGGGAGCAAAC